UACGUAGGGUCCGAGCGUUGUCCGGAAUUAUUGGGCGUAAAGGGCUCGUAGGCGGUUUGUCACGUCGGGAGUGAAAACUCAGGGCUCAACCCUGAGCGUGCUUCCGAUACGGGCAGACUAGAGGUAUGCAGGGGAGAACGGAAUUCCUGGUGUAGCGGUGGAAUGCGCAGAUAUCAGGAAGAACACCGGUGGCGAAGGCGGCUCUCUGGGCCUUACCUGACGCUGAGGAGCGAAAGCGUGGGUAGCGAACAGG
rnacentral:rRNA from 1 species